UACGUAGGGGGCUAGCGUUGUCCGGAAUCAUUGGGCGUAAAGAGCGUGUAGGCGGCCCGGUAAGUCCGCUGUGAAAGUCGGGGGCUCAACCCUCGAAUGCCGGUGGAUACUGUCGGGCUAGAGUGCGGAAGAGGCGAGUGGAAUUCGUGGUGUAGCGGUGAAAUGCGCAGAUAUCAGGAGGAACACCAAUGGCGAAGGCAGCUCACUGGGACGGUAUUGACGCUGAGACGCGAAAGCGUGGGGGAGCAAACAGG
rnacentral:rRNA from 1 species